CCUACGGGAGGCUGCAGUGGGGGAUAUUGGACAAUGGGGGAAACCCUGAUCCAGCGACGCCGCGUGAGUGAAGAAGUAUUUCGGUAUGUAAAGCUCUAUCAGCAGGGAAGAAAGAAAUGACGGUACCUGAGUAAGAAGCCCCGGCUAACUACGUGCCAGCAGCCGCGGUAAUACGUAGGGGGCAAGCGUUAUCCGGAAUUACUGGGUGUAAAGGGAGCGUAGACGGUAAUGCAAGUCUGGAGUGAAAGGCGGGGGCCCAACCCCCGGACUGCUCUGGAAACUGUGUAACUGGAGUGCAGGGGAGGCAGGCGGAAUUCCUAGUGUAGCGGUGAAAUGCGUAGAUAUUAGGAGGAACACCAGUGGCGAAGGCGGAUUGCUAGACUGUAACUGACACUGAGGCACGAAAGCGUGGGGAGCAAACAGGAUUAGAUACCCUAGUAGUC
rnacentral:rRNA from 1 species